rnacentral:rRNA from 1 species
AGUGAACGCUGGCGGUAGGCCUAACACAUGCAAGUCGAACGGCAGCACAGGAGAGCUUGCUCUCUGGGUGGCGAGUGGCGGACGGGUGAGGAAUACAUCGGAAUCUACUCUGUCGUGGGGGAUAACGUAGGGAAACUUACGCUAAUACCGCAUACGACCUACGGGUGAAGGCAGGGGACCUUCGGGCCUUGCGCGAUUGAAUGAGCCGAUGUCGGAUUAGCUAGUUGGCGGGGUAAAGGCCCACCAAGGCGACGAUCCGUAGCUGGUCUGAGAGGAAGAUCAGCCAAACUGGAACUGAGACACGGUCCAGAGUCCUACGGGAGGCAGCAGUGGGGAAUAUUGGACAAUGGGCGCAAGCCUGAUCCAGCCAUACCGCGUGGGUGAAGAAGGCCUUCGGGUUGUAAAGCCCUUUUGUUGGGAAAGAAAUCCAGCUGGCUAAUACCCGGUUGGGAUGACGGUACCCAAAGAAUAAGCACCGGCUAACUUCGUGCCAGCCGCCGCAGUAA